rnacentral:rRNA from 1 species
GCACAAGCGGUGGAGCAUGUGGUUAAUUCGAUGCAACGCGAAGAACUUACCUAGGCUUGACAUCCCAGGAAUUCUCUGGAAACAGAGAAGUGCCUUUCGGGGAACCUGGAGACAGGUGCUGCAUGGCUGUCGUCAGCUCGUGUCGUGAGAUGUCGGGUUAAGUCCCGCAACGAGCGCAACCCUUACCCUUAGUUGCCAGCGGGUAAUGCCGGGCACUCUAAGGGGACCGCCCGGAUAACGGGGAGGAAGGCGGGAUGACGUCAAGUCAGCAUGGCCUUUAUGUCCAGGGCUACACACGUGCUACAAUGGGCGAUACAGAGGGAAGCAAGGCCGCAAGGUAGAGCUAAUCCCUAAAGUCGUCCUCAGUUCGGAUUGCAGGCUGCAACUCGCCUGCAUGAAGUCGGAAUCGCUAGUAAUCGCGGAUCAGCUACGCCCGCGGUCGAAUACGUUCCGGGCCUU